rnacentral:rRNA from 1 species
UACGGGGGGAGCAAGCGUUGUUCGGAUUUACUGGGCGUAAAGGGCGCGUAGGCGGCGUGACAAGUCACUUGUGAAAUCUCCGGGCUUAACCCAGAGCGGCCAAGUGAUACUGCUUUGCUAGAGUGCGGAAGGGGCAAUCGGAAUUCUUGGUGUAGCGGUGAAAUGCGUAGAUAUCAAGAGGAACACCUGAGGUGAAGACGGGUUGCUGGGCCGACACUGACGCUGAUAGCGCGAAAGCCAGGGGAGCAAACGGG